ensembl:lncRNA
GGUAAACUCAAAGAUGAAGAAGAACGAGCAAGGGAAAAAUGCAGCCUUUAAGACCUGACUGUAUCCCUCCUGAGGGUCUGCAUGAGCUGUCCCUUCUGUCUGCAGUCUUUUCCUUCAGGUCUUCGUCUGCUGGCUGGACCCCUCAGCAGGGUCCAGGUUUAGCCCACAUGAACUCGAUCACACCUGUCUGGUUCCCCACAAGUUUCUGGAGGGAUGCCUGACACAUCAUAGCCCCUCAGAAAAUUAAUUCUCAGGUCUUGUGGAACAAAGUCCAGCAUCUGGCUGGCAGGUCGUCUGGCUGCGGGCUCUUCUAGGAAGUCCCAAGUUCUCUGCCUCCUCUUGCUCCUCAGGGUUCCCAGGCCAUCACCUGCGGGAGGUUUCUCCAGCUUUCUACCACCAUUCCCAACUAAAAAGAGUUCCUCUGAAAAACACUGAGGCCACUGUGGGGCUUUCUCACAUUCUUCUUUAAUGGGACAGCACAAAAAUUAUACGCAAAUGGAAAUGUCACUUAACAAAAGUGUUUCCUCCAAGUGAAUCCUCUGUAGACAAGUCAGUCUGGCUUUCCAAGACUGUCCCAGCA